UUCCGCCGCCGCCGCCGCCUCCUGCGCGCAGGCGCUUUCCGGGUGGGACGUCGGGUCGUGUUCUGACAGCUAGCACUCCACUCUUGUUUGCUGCGUGCGUUCGUCGCUUGGCCCGCUUGCUGUUCUCGCAAAAGCGCGGGGCAGAGGAGAGAAAGAAGCCUCUCGUUCUCCGAGAGAGACGCAGAGGCCGCAGUCAGGGCCUGGAUAUACUCGGAGGCUCGGCUUCUCCUCUGGGUGCUCCUUGUUGCUUCCAGGGAAAGUUUAGUCUGGAUCUGAGGCCUCGUGGCGCUCUUCCUGGUUUUUCAAUUUUGGUGGAGAAAUAGAGUUUGUGGUGAAGUAAAUGGCACCGCUGGAAUCCAAACCCUAAUGAAGCAGAGUCUCUUCUUAACCACUGUCUAUACUAAAGGGUGCAGACAACAGGAAAGCAACAACUCUGGUUUGGUCACCAUGGUGGUCUUGCCCGGCACAUGGUGGGAGUCCAGCCAGAGCUGAUGGCCUCCUCUUCCCUCCUGACUAUUCAUCUGCUUCCACUCCAGGAGCACCACAGGCAUCUCCCCUGAUGCAGGGUAAAUUGCAGAAGCCGUGGUACCAGCCCGCAUCCAUGACCCCACAGAUAUUCCCCUUCUCCAAGUGGACUGACCCAGGCCUUUUACAAACACAGAAGGAUCUUGUGCAAGAUGAAUUCUAGUACUAGCUACUAAAAGAUCUCUUCACACAAAAGGCAAUAUUCCUGAAUUUGUAUUGGUCCAGGCAUUCGAGAAUCAAGGUGCAUCCGUAGGAAGAAAGAGAGAGAGACCAGUUCUGAAGAGUAUCUGCUGGUGAAUGUUACUUAAAUCUGAACUUUGAGUCAUGAAAAAUAGAAAGAUGUACGUCGUUAUGGUACUGUUUCCAGAUGUUUUCCUGUUUCCAUGGAAGCAGAGUUCAUUUGGCUGGGAUGUUCUGAGCUUUUGCUUCCAGACCUUUGAUGCCGGGGCAUGUUGUCUUCAGCAGAGGCUCCAGCCAAGUCAGAUGCCCACGUGUCUCUGCUUGGUGAAGCCGAAUGCCUCGCCAUGACUCUGGAGAAGCUCUUUAAGUGUCUGAUGCAGUGGGAAGAGCUGAGCCACAGCUUGAUACCAGUGUUGGGCCCCAGAGUCCCCAUAUGCUGCCUCUCAAGGGUGGUAUUCAAAGUGGGUUGUUGUUCUUGUUGUUGUUGUUUUGGUCACAUCCCAGGCGUAACUGCAGUACAACAUCACAGCCAGGAUGCUGACAUUGAUAAUCCUCCUAUCUCAUUCACAUUUCCCCGUUUUACUUGUAAUGUGUGUGUGUGUGUGUGUGUUGUGUUUGUAUUUAGUUCUUUGACGUUUUAUCACAUGUGCAGAUUAAUGUAUCUGCUACAGUCAAGAUAUAGAACACCUGAAUCCUUUGUGUUGCUCUUUGGUUCCCACCUCCUCCCCAUCCCUCCACCCCAACACCUGGCAACCACUGAGCUAGUCUCCAUACUGCAAAUUUUGUGAUAUCAUUUGUUACAUAGAUGGAAUUGCCUAUUGCAUAGCUUUGGCGGAAUGGCUUUUCAUUUUCCCCCUCAAAACAUAUUUCUUUACAAUUAUUACAAGCUGUUGCAUGUAUCAGUAGUUUUCUUUCUUUCUUUCUUUAUUGCUUGCUUGCUUCCUUCCUUCCUUUCUUUUUUUUUUGGCUGAAUCAGUAGUGGCAGGCAGAAGUUCUGGGACCAGGGAUCGAACCCAAGCCAUAGCAGUAACCAAAGCCACAGCAGUGACAAUGCUGUACCCUCAACUCUCUGAGCCAGCAGGACUCUCCUCAAAGUGUGUUUUUUUUUUUUUUCCUUUCUUUUUAGGGCCACACCCACAGCAUAUGGAAGUUCCUGGGCUAGGGGUCAAAUUGGAGCUGCAGCUGCUGGGUUACACCACAGCCACGGCAAUGUGGGAUCCAAGCUGUGUCUGCAACCUGCACCAUGACUCACAACAACACCCAGAUCCUUAGUGCACUAAAUAAGUGCAGGGAUCGAACCCUUAUCCUCAUGGAUACUAGUUGGGUUCAUAAUCACUGAGCCACAAUGGGAAGCCCCCAAAGUGGGGUUUUGGAAGAUAGUAGGAUUAUUCUAGGCUCAGAUUAAAGUCAGGUGGGUAAGCAUCAUUGCACAGGGAGGAAAAAGUGUGAGCCAGAUGGUGAAGGCAGGAAAGUUAGAGCCAUCUUUGGGAAGGAGAUGGCGAUAUUGUAGGAACCAGCUUGGGGUUUGUUUGGGAGGGACAGCAGCAGGCUCUCUCCCUGCCUCGUGUCACUUCCCUAUGUCCUUCCUGUGAUUUGGGGGCCUCUGUGGUGCAUGGCCACCUGUAUGCAGGCAGCACCAGCAUCUUGUCCCUCUUGCUCUGUCUCAGGGCUCUCUCCUGGGUGCAGGAGAGCACUCAGCCUGCUUGCAGGAGCAUCUCAGCCCGCAGGCAGCCCCUAGCCCAGGGAGGAGGGUUGGUGGACCACACCAUGACAUGUGGUCUACACACGUCCUUUGAGGGGUGAGCCCGGUGCCCACAGUGGUAACCAGUGCGAUAACGCUGUUUAACCCUUUCGAUACCCUCACACUUGCCUGGGCUCAUCUUGCAAAGAAGUCACCUGCAUGUGAUUUAUGAGCAUGGAGGAAACUACUGAAGGGUACACGGUUGUUGGGAUGAUUGCUUGGUGCAGAGUAGGGAAGGUAAGCAGGAGAGGGAAUGGGCAUAAAAUAAACUCAAACCAAACAAAACUACCCAUUAGACAUAGCAUGCUGAGUUUUUUUUGUUUGUUUGUUUUUGUUUUUGCCUUUUUCUUUUUGCCUUUUAGGGCUGCACUUGGAGCAUAUGGAUGUUCCCAGACUAGGAGUUGAACCAGAGCUAUAGCUGU
ensembl:lncRNA